CAGAGAGGCCAGGGUAUGUGUUUGGGGUCUCACCAGUGCUUCUCACCUGUGAGUGCUUCCCCAUCGUCAUAGCUUGGCCUGGGAACAGGAGAAAUAAACCAGACGGAAUUUCUCUCUAACCACACAAGAGCUGGUUAUUAUUUCCUUGGACUGACAUACUCAAAGCCUGAGGGCAGAUGAAAGUGGAUCAGCAAUGAAGAACUGAACAGUGAUGUGUAGCUUCAUUCUUUUCUAACUCUAUUUGAUAUACAAAAGAAUCUCCAUGACUAUGCCUGCGCUGUUAUUGGCUUUAAUAAGGUGGUGACUGCAGUUUGUUCUGAAUCCUCACACAUCCACUAUAUCUGUAAGAAGACAAUGGGAUAACUAUAGAUCCUCAAGAUGAGAAAAUUGCAGGCACAAGAACAUGCCUGGGUUAUCCAGAUGCCAACAAGGAUAUUUCUCUCU